UUCAGAAUAGCUUAAUACUAAAGCAUUGAUUUUGUAAUUCAACGAUAAUUUUUUUCUGAAA
rnacentral:tRNA from 1 species